AAGUUUUAGCAUUCUUUAAUGUUUUUGAUGUCAUUAUAAUCAUCGCAGUUGCCAAGGGAAAAAAAUAACACGACAUGGUAAAUAAAGCCACCUAUCACACACACGCAUAUAUAAAGCUCAUGUGAACAGCUCCAAGAACUCACAGCAGCUCAAACACAAACACACACACCUAGGACAGUACAAUUUCAACAUCCACAACGCAUUCAGUCUGCCAUCAUUUCUGUGCCACAGAAUCCUAGGGACACCACCAGUAUAGUCAAAACUUGGAUUGCUCGCUAUCCCGAUGCACUCAGAAAUCCAAUGUUCACCAAAGAACAAAAAAGUAUAAUGUGUUGGUAUGAACUUUGUAGGACGCGCUCAGCAAACAAUAUCAUCAAAGAUGACUAAGAUAAAAGCACUGCUGAAUCAGUGUUACCAAGUGCUAAGGGUGUAACACAAACAACACACUACAUGCCUGACUGAUCAAGACAUUGCUCGACUAUUCAGUUCUCAAAUGUGUGCUUGUCUUGAGAAUAGACAGCACUUUCCACUUAGUGCUUGUACGUCAAGUUUAUAGUGUCAAUUAUUACCAAUGUAUGAGUUAUGAAUACAAUGCAGUGUCUCGGUACUUUCAUGGCCAGUGAAUACAAUGC